ensembl:snRNA U6 U6 spliceosomal RNA
GUGCUCGCUUCGGCAGCACAUAUACUAAAACUGGGACGAUACAGAGAAGAUCCACGUGGCCCCUGUGCAAGGAUGACACGCAAAUUUGUGAAGCGUUCCAUAUUUUG